AACGCUAGCUACAGGCUUAACACAUGCAAGUCGAGGGGCAGCAUUACGGUAGCUUGCUACUGUAGAUGGCGACCGGCGCACGGGUGAGUAACGCGUAUCCAACCUGCCCAUGACUUGGGGAUAACCUUGCGAAAGCAAGCCUAAUACCCGAUACGCUUCAUAGAUGGCAUCUGAAAUGAAGUAAAGGUUUACGGUUAUGGAUGGGGAUGCGUCCGAUUAGCUUGUUGGCGGGGUAACGGCCCACCAAGGCAUCGAUCGGUAGGGGUUCUGAGAGGAAGGUCCCCCACAUUGGAACUGAGACACGGUCCAAACUCCUACGGGAGGCAGCAGUGAGGAAUAUUGGUCAAUGGAGGCAACUCUGAACCAGCCAAGUAGCGUGCAGGAUGACGGCCCUAUGGGUUGUAAACUGCUUUUAUGCGGGGAUAAACUGACUCACGUGUGGGUUAUUGCAGGUACCGCAUGAAUAAGGACCGGCUAAUUCCGUGCCAGCAGCCGCGGUAAUACGGAAGGUUCGGGCGUUAUCCGGAUUUAUUGGGUUUAAAGGGAGCGUAGGCCGUUGUUUAAGCGUGUUGUGAAAUGUCCCGGCUCAACCGUGGCACUGCAGCGCGAACUGGACGACUUGAGUGCGCGGAACGUAUGCGGAAUUUGUGGUGUAGCGGUGAAAUGCUUAGAUAUCACGAAGAACUCCGAUUG
rnacentral:rRNA from 1 species